rnacentral:misc_RNA from 1 species
AUGACCCCAAUCUUAGAAGAUGAUUUCACUUGCAUUUCUCCUUCAAGAACAAAAAGCAAAACUCCUGUAAUAAAUAUUCUACAAUAGGGCACUAUUUGGUAUUUCUGCAUCACAAACUUCUUACAAUCUAUUGCUGUAAACAGAACAUGUAUAUAACUCAUCUUCCAGGGAAAAAAAACUGGAUUAAAAAUCUUAAUCAUGUUAUCAGCUUUCCUUCAUGCCCAUGUCACUGAAGUUAGGAUCUCAUCUGACUAGUACAUUACAGCAAACAACUGAAUUCAAAGCUCUAUUUGAGACUACGAUGCAUUUUUUUGUACCGUUCACCAGCUGCUCAACUGUUUCUUAAGUUUCGAAUUCUGAGAGGAUUUACCACCCUUGUC